rnacentral:rRNA from 1 species
CCCAGACUCCUACGGGAGGCAGCAGUGGGGAAUAUUGCACAAUGGGGGAAACCCUGAUGCAGCGACGCCGCGUGAGUGAAGAAGUAUUUCGGUAUGUAAAGCCCUAUCGGCAGGGAAGAAGCAAGACGGUACCUGACUAAGAAGCCCCGGCUAACUACGUGCCAGCAGCCGCGGUAAUACAUAGGGGGCGAGCGUUAUCCGGAUUCACUGGGUGUAAAGGGGGCGCAGACGGCAGCGCAAGCCAGGAGUGAAAGCCCGGGGCCCAACCCCGGGACUGCUCUUGGAACUGCGCGGCUGGAGUGCAGGAGGGGCAGGCGGAAUUCCUGGUGUAGCGGUGAAAUGCGUAGAUAUCAGGAGGAACACCGGUGGCGAAGGCGGCCUGCUGGACUGCGACUGACGUUGAGGCCCGAAAGCGUGGGGAGCAAACAGGAUUAGAUACCCGUGUA